rnacentral:rRNA from 1 species
UACAGAGGGUGCGAGCGUUAAUCGGAAUUACUGGGCGUAAAGCGUGCGUAGACGGUUAUGUAAGUCGGGUGUGAAAGCCCCGGGCUCAACCUGGGAAUUGCAUUCGAGACUGCAUAGCUAGGAUGCGGAAGAGGGAAGUGGAAUUUCCGGUGUAGCGGUGAAAUGCGUAGAUAUCGGGAGGAACACCUGUGGCGAAAGCGGCGCACUGGACCAUAACUGACGCUGAGGCGCGAAAGCUAGGGGAGCAAACAGG